GCCGUGGACAAUGUGUUCCCUGGAGUAGAGCAUAGGGAAUGCAUGCGUCACCUUGCUGCAAAUUUCAUGAAUAAAUUCAAAGGAAAGGUGUAUACCGAUAAUUUAUGGCCAGCAUCUUUGACUUGCGGUGUGAAAAAGCACAACUACCACUUGAGGCAGUUAUACAUGAAUCCCAAAGUGAAAGAAUACUUGGAAACACACCACUCCAAGUUAUGGGCCAGAAGCCAAUUCAGUGAACCGAACAAAGUUGACUAUGUGCACAAUAAUCUAGCAGAGUCUUUCAACUCAACGAUCCAGAAAGUA
rnacentral:rRNA from 1 species